GGUUAGUCGAUCCUAAGAGAUAGGAAAGCUCCGUUAGCAGUGUGCGCUCCUCGGAACGCGCUGUCUGUCGAAAGGGAAGCGGGUUAAUAUUCCCGCACCAGGACGUGGAUACUGAGUGGCAACACAAGCAAAGCUAGAGACGCCGGCGGGGACCCUGGGGAGAGUUCUCUUUUCUUGUUAACAGCGCGGCAGGCCCUGGAAUCGGAUUACCCGGCGAUAGGGCGUGGCGGCUGGCAAAGCAGUCUAAUCUUCGGACUGUCCGGUGCGUUCCCGACGGUCCUUGAAAAUCUAGCGGCGUGAUUUAUUCGCACCCCUGGUCGU
rnacentral:rRNA from 1 species